rnacentral:rRNA from 1 species
UACGAAGGGGGCUAGCGUUGCUCGGAAUUACUGGGCGUAAAGCGCACGUAGGCGGCUUUCUAAGUCGGGGGUGAAAUCCUGGAGCUCAACUCCAGAACUGCCUUCGAUACUGGAGAUCUCGAGUCCGGGAGAGGUGAGUGGAACUGCGAGUGUAGAGGUGAAAUUCGUAGAUAUUCGCAAGAACACCAGUGGCGAAGGCGGCUCACUGGCCCGGUACUGACGCUGAGGUGCGAAAGCGUGGGGAGCAAACAGG